rnacentral:piRNA from 1 species
UGUAAGUGGUUUCUCUGCCACUGCCGCCU